UUGGAGGGCAAGUCUGGUGCCAGCAGCCGCGGUAAUUCCAGCUCCAAUAGCGUAUAUUAAAGUUGUUGCAGUUAAAAAGCUCGUAGUUGAAUUUCGGGAUCAAUACGUCGGUCGUGCUUUCGGGUACGUACUGGCGUCAUUGGUUUCUCCUUUCUGACGAACCAUGAUGUCAUUAAUUUGGUGUUAUGGGGAGUUAGGACUGUUACUUUGAAGAAAUUAGAGUGUUUAAAGCAGGCAUUAGCUUGAAUACAUUAGCAUGGAAUAAUGAAAUAGGACGUUCGAUCCUAUUUUGUUGGUUUCUAGGAUCAACGUAAUGAUUAAUAGGGAUAGUUGGGGGCAUUAGUAUUCAAUUGUCAGAGGUGAAAUUCUUGGAUUUAUUGAAGACUAACUACUGCGAAAGCAUUUGCCAAGGAUGUUUUCAUUAAUCAAGAACGAAAGUUAGGGGAUCGAAGACGAUCAGAUACCGUCGUAGUCUUAWCCAUAAACUAUGCCGACUAGGGAUCGGAUGAUGUUAAUUUUUUAAUGACUCAUUCGGCGCCUUACGGGAAAC
rnacentral:rRNA from 1 species